GAUGAACGCUGGCUGCGUGCCUAAUACAUGCAAGUCGAGCGAACGGACGAGAAGCUUUCUUCUCUGAUGUUAGCGGCGGACGGGUGAGUGACACGUGGAUAACCUACCUAUCAGACUGGGGUAACUUCGCGAAACCGGAGCUAAUACCGGAUAAUAUUUUGAACCGCAUGGUUCAAAAGUGAGAGACGGUCUUGCUGUCACUUAUAGAUGGAUCCGCGCUGCAUUAGCUAGUUGCUAAGGUACCGGCUUACCAAGGCAACGAUGCAUAGCCGACCUGAGAGGGUGAUCGGCCACACUAGAACUGAGACACGGUCCAGACUCCUACGGGAGGCAGCAGUAGGGAAUCUGCCGCAAUGGGCGAAAGCCUGACGGAGCAACGCCGCGUGAGUGAUGAAGGUCUUCGGAUCGUAAAACUCUGUUAUUAGGGAAGAACAUAUGUGUAAGUAACUGUGCACAUCUUGACGGUACCUAAUCAGAAAGCCACGGCUAACUACGUG
rnacentral:rRNA from 1 species